GCCGAUGUAGCUUAGGGGCAAAGCAAUGGUUUCGUAAACCAUAGACGGCAGUUCGAUUCUGCCCAUCGGCUCCA
rnacentral:tRNA from 1 species